AAGUCGUAACAAGGUUUCCGUAGGUGAACCUGCGGAAGGAUCAUUAAAGAUUUGGCGAAAGCCUACUUUAUUCCAUACACCUGUGCAUCUGUGGUCUUCGGACCUUACAAACAUUUGUGUAAUGAACGUCAUAUAUUAUAACAUAAUAAAA
rnacentral:misc_RNA from 1 species